rnacentral:rRNA from 1 species
ACAGGGAUUCCCCUAGUACGGCGAGUGAACCGGGAAGAGCUCAAAUUUGAAAUCUGGCGUCCUCAGGGCGUCCGAGUUGUAAUCUAUAGAGGCGUUUUCCGUGCCGGACCGUGUCCAAGUUCCUUGGAACAGGAUAUCAAAGAGGGUGACAAUCCCGUACUUGACACGACGACCGGUGCUCUGUGAUACGUCUUCUACGAGUCGAGUUGUUUGGGAAUGCAGCUCAAAAUGGGUGGUGAGUUCCAUCUAAAGCUAAAUAUUGGCGAGAGACCGAUAGCGAACAAGUACCGUGAGGGAAAGAUGAAAAGCACUUUGGAAAGAGAGUUAAACAGUACGUGAAAUUGUUGAAAGGGAAACGAUUGAAGUCAGUCGUGACCGAGAGGCUCAGCCGGUUCUGCCGGUGUAUUCCCCUCGGUCGGGUCAACAUCAGUUUUGUCCGGUGGAUAAGGGCGGUAGGAAGGUGGCACCCUCGGGUGUGUUAUAGCCUGCCGUCGCAUACAUCGGGUGAGACUGAGGAACGCAGCUCGCCUUUAUGGCCGGGGUUCGCCCACGUCCGAGCUUAGGAUGUUGACAUAAUGGCUUUAAACGACCCGUCUUGAAMMMSSGRRAMMCAAAAA